AUCGAACGCUGGCGGCAGGCCUAACACAUGUAAGUCGAGCGGAUGACGGGAGCUUGCUCCUUGAUUCAGCGGCGGACGGGUGAGUAAUGCCUAGGAAUCUGCCUGGUAGUGGGGGACAACGUUUCGAAAGGAACGCUAAUACCGCAUACGUCCUACGGGAGAAAGCAGGGGACCUUCGGGCCUUGCGAUAUCAGAUGAGCCUAGGUCGGAUUAGCUAGUUGGUGGGGUAAUGGCUCACCAAGGCGACGAUCCGUAACUGGUCUGAGAGGAUGAUCAGUCACACUGGAACUGAGACACGGUCCAGACUCCUACGGGAGGCAGCAGUGGGGAAUAUUGGACAAUGGGCGAAAGCCUGAUCCAGCCAUGCCGCGUGUGUGAAGAAGGUCUUCGGAUUGUAAAGCACUUUAAGUUGGGAGGAAGGGCAGUAAGCUAAUACCUUGCUGUUUUGACGUUACCGACAGAAAAAGCACCGGCUAACUCUGUGCCAGCAGCCGCAGUAA
rnacentral:rRNA from 1 species